GUAGGUGGCAAGCGUUGUCCGGAAUUAUUGGGGCGUAAAGCGCGCGCAGGCGGUUCUUUAAGUCUGAUGUGAAAGCCCACGGGCUCAACCGUGGAGGGUCAUUGGAAACUGGAGAACUUGAGUACAGAAGAGGAAAGCGGAAUUCCACGUGUAGCGGUGAAAUGCGUAGAGAUGUGGAGGAACACCAGUGGCGAAGGCGGCUUUCUGGUCUGUAACUGACGCUGAGGCGCGAAAGCGUGGGGAGCAAACAGGAUUAGAUACCCUGGUAGUCCAUGCCGUAAACGAUGAGUGCUAAGUGUUAGGGGGUUUCCGCCCCUUAGUGCUGCAGCUAACGCAUUAAGCACUCCGCCUGGGGAGUACGACCGCAAGGUUG
rnacentral:rRNA from 1 species